rnacentral:tRNA from 1 species
ACUCUUUAGUGCACUAGGCAGUGUGUCAGUCUCGAAAGCUGAAGGUCCCAAGUUUGAUCCUUGGAAGGAGGG